AUACGGAGGAUCCGAGCGUUAUCCGGAUUUAUUGGGUUUAAAGGGUGCGCAGGCGGCCAUUUAAGUCAGCGGUUAAAUCGUGGGGCUCAACCCCAUUCUGCCGUUGAUACUGGGUGGCUUGAUUGCGGUCGAGGUUGGCGGAAUUCGUUGUGUAGCGGUGAAAUGCAUAGAUAUGACGAAGAACACCGAUUGCGUAGCCAGCUGACCGGACCGCAAAUGACGCUCAUGCACGAAAGUGCGGGGAUCGAACAGGAUUAGAUACCCUGGUAGUCCGCACAGUAAACGAUGAAUACUUGUUUUCGGCGAUAUAAUGUCGGAGGCAAAGCGAAAGCGAUAAGUAUUCCACCUGGGGAGUACGCCGGCAACGGUGAAACUUAAAUGAAUUGGCGGGG
rnacentral:rRNA from 1 species